AUUCUAACACGCUCAAUCUCUCUUUAUCAAAAAAAAAAAAAAUCCCUCUCUCUCUCAUUCAACUCCAUCUCGCAUAAAACGAGCUCCGGCAACAUCCACACCUGGAGACGACGACGAAGAAGAUCGGCAAGAAGCUACCUCGCCGGAGUCGAAUCUCUCUAGAUCAGAGCCUCACUUGAAGAUGACGAAGAUGCUCCUCCUCACCGUCACACCACCACCGCUAGGUCUCAAUGGCUAUUUGGCUGAUGUCGAUGAGUUAUCGGUGGUGAGAUCGGAGUAGGAAGGACUAAGAUAAUUGCCGAGAUCAAAGGUUUUGUUGUGAUUGCAAAUGUAAAGCUUAAAAAUUUGAAAAUCAUGUGAAUUUGGAUAUUGAUGCCUUCAUCAACCAAGUGGACAGGUCAUUCGGCCAAACAAGAAGUGUUUCAAAUGAAGUCUCGUGCUGAAGGUGGAUAAAUUAUGCAUGUGGGUUUAUCACCACUAAAAAACUAACAGUAGCUUUAUAGUAGUUUUAUACAACUACUGCAGUAGAUUUCUGUAACUAUAGUAGUAGCUUUGUACAUAAUAAUAUCAUUUACUUUUUGUAUCAUUAAAUAUGUUUUUAGCCUCAAUUGUAGUAGCAUUUGAAUGUUACCCGUAUCCUCUACAUUUUCACAAUUUUUGUACAUCUCUAAAAGUAACUUUCUCAACCUCUAGC